rnacentral:rRNA from 1 species
UACGAAGGGUGCAAGCGUUAAUCGGAAUUACUGGGCGUAAAGCGUGCGCAGGCGGUUUUGUAAGACCGGUGUGAAAUCCCCGGGCUUAACCUGGGAACUGCGCUUGUGACUGCAAGACUCGAGUACGGCAGAGGGGGGUAGAAUUCCACGUGUAGCAGUGAAAUGCGUAGAGAUGUGGAGGAAUACCGAUGGCGAAGGCAGCCCCCUGGGUCGAUACUGACGCUCAUGCACGAAAGCGUGGGGAGCAAACAGG